GAUGAAGAACGUAGCGAAAUGCGAUAAGUAAUGUGAAUUGCAGAAUUCAGUGAAUCAUCGAAUCUUUGAACGCACAUUGCGCUCCCUGGUAUUCCGGGGAGCAUGCCUGUUCGAGCGUCAUUACAACCCUCAAGCUCUGCUUGGUGUUGGGCCCCGCCGCCCCGGCGGGCCCUAAAGUCAGUGGCGGUGCCGUCCGGCUCCGAGCGUAGUAAUUUUUCUCGCUUUGGAGGCCCGGGCACGUGCUUGCCAUCAACCCCCAAUUUUUUUCAGGUUGACCUCGGAUCAGGUAGGGAUACCCGCUGAACUUAAGCAUAUCAAUAAGCGGAGGA
rnacentral:misc_RNA from 1 species